rnacentral:rRNA from 1 species
AUUCCGGUUGAUCCUGCCGGAGGCUAUUGCUAUCGGGAUCCGAUUCAGGCAUGCUAGUCGUACGAGUUCAGACUCGUGGCGUAUAGCUCAGUAACACGUGGUCAAACCACCCUCUGGACCGGGAUACCCUCGGGAAACUGAGGUCAAUCCCGGAUACUGCUUUCACGUUGGAAAAACGGAAAGCUGGAAACGGUCCGCCGCCGGAGGACGUGACUGCGGCCGAUUAGGUAGACGGUGGGGUAACGGCCCACCGUGCCAAUAAUCGGUACGGGUUGUGAGAGCAAGAGCCCGGAGACGGAAUCUGAGACAAGAUUCCGGGCCCUACGGGGCGCAGCAGCCGCGAAACCUUUACACUGCACGACAGUGCGAUAAGGGGAUCCCGAGUGCGAGGGCAUACAGUCCUCGCUUUUCGUGACCGUAAGGUGGUCACAGAAUAAGGGCUGGGCAAGACCGGUGCCAGCCGCCGCGGUAAUACCGGCAGCCCGAGUGAUAGCCAAUUUUAUUGGGCCUAAAGCGUCCGUAGCCGGCCGAACGGGUCCGUCGGGAAAUCCACCCGCUUAACGGGUGGGCGUCCGGCGGAAACCAGUCGGCUUGGGGCCGGGAGACCAGAGGGGUACGUCCGGGGUAGGAGUGAAAUCCUGUAAUCCUGGACGGACCACCGGUUGCGAAAGCGCCUCUGGAGAACGGACCCGACGGUGAGGGACGAAAGCUAGGGUCUCGAACCGGAUUAGAUACCCGGGUAGUCCUAGCCGUAAACGAUGCUCGCUAGGUGUGACGCAGGCUACGAGCCUGCGUUGCGCCGUAGGGAAGCCGAGAAGCGAGCCGCCUGGGAAGUACGUCCGCAAGGAUGAAACUUAAAGGAAUUGGCGGGGGAGCACUACAACCGGAGGAGCCUGCGGUUUAAUUGGACUCAACGCCGGACAUCUCACCGGCACCGACAACGUGCAGUGACGGUCAGUUUGAUGAGCUUACCUGAGCCGUUGAGAGGAGGUGCAUGGCCGCCGUCAGCUCGUACCGUGAGGCGUCCUGUUAAGUCAGGCAACGAGCGAGACCCGCGUCCAUAAUUGCCAGCAGCACCCUUGUGGUGGCUGGGUACAUUAUGGAGACUGCCGUCGCUAAG